CCCUACGGGGNGCANCAGUCGGGAAAAUUCUGCAAUGUACGAAAGUAUGACAGAGCAAGCCAAAGUGCUUUUCUUUUAGAAAAGCUUUUGUGUGCUGUAAAAAGGCACUCGAAUAAGGACCGGGAGAGACUGGUGCCAGCCGCCGCGGUAA
rnacentral:rRNA from 1 species